ACACUAUCAUUAACUGAAUCCAUAGGUUAAUGAGGCGAACCGGGGGAACUGAAACAUCUAAGUACCCCGAGGAAAAGAAAUCAACCGAGAUUCCCCCAGUAGCGGCGAGCGAACGGGGAGCAGCCCAGAGCCUGAAUCAGUGUGUGUGUUAGUGGAAGCGUCUGGAAAGGCGCGCGAUACAGGGUGACAGCCCCGUACACAAAAAUGCACAUGCUGUGAGCUCGAUGAGUAGGGCGGGACACGUGGUAUCCUGUCUGAAUAUGGGGGGACCAUCCUCCAAGGCUAAAUACUCCUGACUGACCGAUAGUGAACCAGUACCGUGAGGGAAAGGCGAAAAGAACCCCGGCGAGGGGAGUGAAAAAGAACCUGAAACCGUGUACGUACAAGCAGUGGGAGCACGCUUAGGCGUGUGACUGCGUACCUUUUGUAUAAUGGGUCAGCGACUUAUAUUCUGUAGCAAGGUUAACCGAAUAGGGGAGCCGAAGGGAAACCGAGUCUUAACUGGGCGUUAAGUUGCAGGGUAUAGACCCGAAACCCGGUGAUCUAGCCAUGGGCAGGUUGAAGGUUGGGUAACACUAACUGGAGGACCGAACCGACUAAUGUUGAAAAAUUAGCGGAUGACUUGUGGCUGGGGGUGAAAGGCCAAUCAAACCGGGAGAUAGCUGGUUCUCCCCGAAAGCUAUUUAGGUAGCGCCUCGUGAAUUCAUCUCCGGGGGUAGAGCACUGUUUCGGCAAGGGGGUCAUCCCGACUUACCAACCCGAUGCAAACUGCGAAUACCGGAGAAUGUUAUCACGGGAGACACACGGCGGGUGCUAACGUCCGUCGUGAAGAGGGAAACAACCCAGACCGCCAGCUAAGGUCCCAAAGUCAUGGUUAAGUGGGAAACGAUGUGGGAAGGCCCAGACAGCCAGGAUGUUGGCUUAGAAGCAGCCAUCAUUUAAAGAAAGCGUAAUAGCUCACUGGUCGAGUCGGCCUGCGCGGAAGAUGUAACGGGGCUAAACCAUGCACCGAAGCUGCGGCAGCGACGCUUAUGCGUUGUUGGGUAGGGGAGCGUUCUGUAAGCCUGCGAAGGUGUGCUGUGAGGCAUGCUGGAGGUAUCAGAAGUGCGAAUGCUGACAUAAGUAACGAUAAAGCGGGUGAAAAGCCCGCUCGCCGGAAGACCAAGGGUUCCUGUCCAACGUUAAUCGGGGCAGGGUGAGUCGACCCCUAAGGCGAGGCCGAAAGGCGUAGUCGAUGGGAAACAGGUUAAUAUUCCUGUACUUGGUGUUACUGCGAAGGGGGGACGGAGAAGGCUAUGUUGGCCGGGCGACGGUUGUCCCGGUUUAAGCGUGUAGGCUGGUUUUCCAGGCAAAUCCGGAAAAUCAAGGCUGAGGCGUGAUGACGAGGCACUACGGUGCUGAAGCAACAAAUGCCCUGCUUCCAGGAAAAGCCUCUAAGCAUCAGGUAACAUCAAAUCGUACCCCAAACCGACACAGGUGGUCAGGUAGAGAAUACCAAGGCGCUUGAGAGAACUCGGGUGAAGGAACUAGGCAAAAUGGUGCCGUAACUUCGGGAGAAGGCACGCUGAUAUGUAGGUGAAGUCCCUCGCGGAUGGAGCUGAAAUCAGUCGAAGAUACCAGCUGGCUGCAACUGUUUAUUAAAAACACAGCACUGUGCAAACACGAAAGUGGACGUAUACGGUGUGACGCCUGCCCGGUGCCGGAAGGUUAAUUGAUGGGGUUAGCGCAAGCGAAGCUCUUGAUCGAAGCCCCGGUAAACGGCGGCCGUAACUAUAACGGUCCUAAGGUAGCGAAAUUCCUUGUCGGGUAAGUUCCGACCUGCACGAAUGGCGUAAUGAUGGCCAGGCUGUCUCCACCCGAGACUCAGUGAAAUUGAACUCGCUGUGAAGAUGCAGUGUACCCGCGGCAAGACGGAAAGACCCCGUGAACCUUUACUAUAGCUUGACACUGAACAUUGAGCCUUGAUGUGUAGGAUAGGUGGGAGGCUUUGAAGUGUGGACGCCAGUCUGCAUGGAGCCGACCUUGAAAUACCACCCUUUAAUGUUUGAUGUUCUAACGU
rnacentral:rRNA from 1 species